rnacentral:tRNA from 7 species
UCAUAUCUGGCUUAGUCGGUACAGCGCAAGGCUCUUAACCUUGAGGUUUUGGGUUCGAGCCCCACAGUGGGCA